CAGACACUUGGGAGCAUUGGCCCUUGCAGUGUGAGUGAGGCAGAGAGGGCGUGACCUGCCUCAGCACCCGGAGACCCCACUCUGAAGGCUGGGGGCCACCACUGUGGCAGCUUCUCCCACCACCAUCAUCUCCCCAUUGCCAGGACAAGCACAUCAGGAGGAUAUGGCUCUGAUCUGAGUGAGGCAAUGGUAGCAUGGGUGUGGAGAGAAGACCUAUUGAGAAUCUGGGAGCAAGGAAUGAAAGAUGAGUUUAUGACUCAAGGAAUGCAUGGAUACCAGCAGAUGCCCACAUCCCUGCAGUUCUUUCUCUGUCAGUAUCCUUGGAGGGGAAGUUUUCUCUGUCAGUCAUCUUAGAAGGAGAACUUGGACACGGUGGCUUUGGAUUAGGAGCCCUCCACAAAGGGCUCGUCUAGCCCAGCCUAGUGGGGGAAGCUUAGGGGGAGCGGCUACAAGACCAAAGGGGAGGAAACACCAGAAGCCACAGAGGAAGGAGCAGGUGCUGAGAGAGAGAAAUGCUGCUGGCCUCCAGGCAACAAUCAAAAUUAAGGAAAUGCUCAAAUAAAUGACAGGAUGGGGGCAUCUGGAAAGAACACAGGAACCAACCUGGGGGAGCCCUCAGUGGCCAAAGCUUGAACAAUCUGAGCAAUACAAUAAAUAAUGUAGUGUUGGGUUGUUACCCAAAACAUAAAAAUUGAUGUUUGAAUAAGUAAGUAAAUGGGGGGAGGGGAUCCUCCUUUCCCAAAAAUUUCAUUUAUUUUAUGUAGAUAUUCCUCCUGGGGGGUGGAGCUUCUUUGUUCCCUUUCCACACAUGAGAAUGAACUUAACUUAGUGACUGAACUCCAAAGAACAGAGUUUGGAAAGGCAAAAAUAGUAAUACUAGGGACACCUGGGUGGCUCAGUCGGCUAAGUGUCUGACUUGGGCUCAGGUCAUGAUCUCACAGCUCUCUGCUUUCAGUGUGGAACCUGCUUCAGUUCCGU